rnacentral:rRNA from 1 species
GACGAACGCUGGCGGCGUGCCUAAUACAUGCAAGUAGAACGCACAGUUUAUACCGUAGCUUGCUACACCAUACACUGUGAGUUGCGAACGGGUGAGUAACGCGUAGGUAACCUGCCUGGUAGCGGGGGAUAACUAUUGGAAACGAUAGCUAAUACCGCAUAAUAUUAAUUAUUGCAUGAUAAUUGAUUGAAAGAUGCAAUUGCAUCACUACCAGAUGGACCUGCGUUGUAUUAGCUAGUAGGUGAGGUAACGGCUCACCUAGGCGACGAUACAUAGCCGACCUGAGAGGGUGAUCGGCCACACGGGGACUGAGACACGGCCCAGACUCCUACGGGAGGCAGCAGUAGGGAAUCUUCGGCAAUGGACGAAAGUCUGACCGAGCAACGCCGCGUGAGUGAAGAAGGUUUUCGGAUCGUAAAGCUCUGUUGUAAGAGAAGAACGGGUGUGAGAGUGGAAAGUUCACACUGUGACGGUAUCUUACCAGAAAGGGACGGCUAACUACGUG